CCCUGGCUACUGUCUAUGUUCACUCAAGGCUGUGGGGCUAGACAAUCAGCAGGUGGCAAGCCAUCCUAAGCCUGUAUCUUUCCCUUCAGGGCAGGAAAUGAUAUUCCCCAUUCACCAGCAGCUGGAGAGGGUCUCCACAGCAGAACACUGCGGCUGGAGGUGA
rnacentral:lncRNA from 1 species